GCAGUACCCACGGCAGAUGACUGCACAUUGGCCACUACAUCGGCUGGUAGCAAUUCUAACCGUGUUACUGCAAAUGAAGCUAGUCUCCCAGAGUGCGAUCACACAUACUGUAGACCUACAGUGUUUUCAGAAUCGACACAGGUUUCCAUCAUAGCGGACGAGAAAGUGGAAGUCAGAAGUGAAAGCACGCAAACGGAUCAUUCACCGUCAACACCUGUCAACAUGUCUCCAGUGAUGGUUUCAACACCUAUUGUCCGUACACCAUCAUGCCCAGAGGUGCAUGAUACGACUAUGUCUUCACCAGCGAUGGAGCCAGCCGAUGAGUCAUUCCGCAUAUCUGAAGACGAUAGUUUUG